UGAUCAGCCGUACUCCGAAUGCUCUAGAGUUAAAGUUUGAUCAUGGCUCAGACNUGAACGCUUACGUGCAGGCUUAACACAUGCAAGUCGAGCGGGAAGGGUAGCUUGCUACCAGACCUAGCGGCGUGACGUGGUGAGUAAUGCUUAGGAAUCUGCCUAUUAGUGGGGGACAACAUCUCGAAAGGGAUGCUAAUACCGCAUACGUCCUACGGGAGAAAGCAGGGGGAUCUUCGGACCUUGCGCUAAUAGAUGAGCCUAAGUCGGAUUAGCUAGUUGGUGGGGUAAAGGCCUACCAAGGCGACGAUCUUGUAAGCGGGUCUGAGAGGAUGAUCCGCACACUGGGACUUGAGACACGGGGCCCCCAGGAAACUUCCCCUUUAACGGGGGAAGGGGCAANGGCA
rnacentral:rRNA from 1 species